rnacentral:rRNA from 1 species
UACGUAGGGUGCGAGCGUUAAUCGGAAUUACUGGGCGUAAAGCGUGCGCAGGCGGUGAUGUAAGACAGAUGUGAAAUCCCCGGGCUCAACCUGGGAACUGCAUUUGUGACUGCACCGCUGGAGUGCGGCAGAGGGGGAUGGAAUUCCGCGUGUAGCAGUGAAAUGCGUAGAUAUGCGGAGGAACACCGAUGGCGAAGGCAAUCCCCUGGGCCUGCACUGACGCUCAUGCACGAAAGCGUGGGGAGCAAACAGG